rnacentral:lncRNA from 1 species
UCCAUCCACUCUGUGGGGAAAGCAGGUGCAUGACAUCCACCCAGUGACGUCCCAACUGCAGAAGCUGACAGGUUCUGCCAUUGACAGUCAGACCAGAGCCUUUGCGAGCUGCGCCAGGCCCCUUCUCUCUGCUCGCAGCCUCUCUGGGCCUGGCUCUGCACUGUCCCUCACACAGCUUCUCUCUUGAUCUUUUACCUCACUCCCAAAGCACUUCACCAACCGGGGCCAAUGGAGGAGGGGCCUUUUCUGCCACACCCUUAGGUUCAAUAGCUGUUUAACUCCAGUUUUUACUGUUACUCAGAUGUUCAAGUAUGAAUUACUGCUUGCUCCUCCACAGGGAAGCUUGUCUGGUUUGUAACAUUUCUUUGUGUUUAUAAUGUCCUUUCUCCCUGUGAGCACAGCUCAGCUAAGGCGUUACUCAGUGUGAACAGUUCCCCUGGUGCUCCCCACAGCACCUUCUCCAACACGUGCUUCUUGUUCGUUCCUUUUUUGAAUUUCUCUGCUGUAUCCAAAGGAAGAGAAGUUUGGUGUUUGCAUUAAAAAAAAAAGUCUUAAAAAAUUAUUAAAUUUAAAAUGUUCAAAAUGAGAACAAUAGGGUUUGGAAUAGUUUAGAGCCCUUGCUGUUCCAGAGAACUGGGGUUCAACUUCCAGCACCCACAUAGCAACGCCCAAACACCCACAACUCCAGUUCCAGGGGAUCGGACAUUCUCUUCUGUCCUCCAGGCAUCAGGGACACACGCGGUGCACAAGGGCGCAGGCAAAAUAUUCAUACAU